ACCCUCGUACCAGCACCGGCAGCGGAAAGCGAUUUCAACCAACUUCCUCCGGCGGUGGGUUCGCGGCCGCGGAGCGGAGAAGCCGGAACCCCAGGGUCACCAGGCCUCUUCGCCGACAGGAACCAACAUUUUAGCACUAGCGGAGGCUGGUCUUCAGUAGUGCUUCAGCGUCAGCCCUCCGUGAACCCCAUGUCGUUUUAACCUGUCUUUGCUUCCAUGGGAAAAUUACGAAGCAGUGUAGUACAUACAUAACCCUCCAAACUCAGCGUGUGUGUCAGAGCGGGCCCCGGUCGCCUUCGCCAUGGAGGGUUCCCGGUGCCGAGACGGGCAGGAGGGGAGAGAGGGAGAGAAGCAGGGUGGAGACUCCUCCGGGCAGCAGGGGAGGGACAAGAGGAAAGGCGAAUGCGAAGGGCGGGCGCGGGCUGUGCCAGCUGCCGCCGCCGCCGCUCGGGCCCGGGCCGGGCCCGCUCCGCUCUGAGGCGCUAGAGGCGGUCUAGCCCCGCAUCCCCGGCUCCACUCGGCCCGGCCCGACGUCCCGAUCCGCCUCGGCCAGGAGCUGGUCCCCCACGGGACAGCCUCACUCUCCCAUUUUGUCCCGGCGCUGCUGGGGCUGCUGCCGCGGUGUCCGGCGGGGCAGGGCGAGGUCGGAGCCCUGUGGAGGCUCGGGGGAGGACGGGCUGGCAAGCGGGCGGCGAGGAUAGACGAGAGUCGAGUCCCGGCGGCUGCGGCUGGGGGAAGCUUCUGGGAGGCGCUGCGGCCCCGGCUGGGGAAAGGGCGAGUCGCGCGGCGAAUGCUCGAGUGGAGGGGGGUGGGGCGAGGGGGGCCGUGAGGGACUAAUAUGUCCGCCUUCCUGUUCAAACAAACGGAGACCGCCGGCGCGCACUGCGCAUGCGGGGCGCGGACGUUCGGAAGGGGAACCGGGCCGGCGCCGCGCGCGCGCGCGCGCGCGCACUGGGCGCCUCCGCAGGGCCGGGCUGGGCUUGGAGGGGGCGGAAGGCGGGGCGCACCCGGGGCUUAGCGGGCGGGCAGGCUGGCAGCCGGGACUGGUGGACUGGGUGCGGCGGGUGGCACCGCCCUCGCCCCGGCAGGCUCUGAGCAGCCACGCAGGGCUCGGGAAGCGACGUGGGAUCCACACGAGGAGGAGCUCCCGCCGCCUUCGCUCGCGUCCUGGCCGUUGCCCUAGCUCUGCUUCCUCUGGGCUGCAGCGGUCUCUGUGUCUUGGCCAGAGCAAUAGAGGCAUAUGACAGGCAGUCCUGUCCUUCACCAGUUUUCCAGAGAGAUAAUUCAUCUAUAAGCCUGAUGUUAACUUUUGAUUAAAAUAAAUACUCUUCAUCAUUUUAGGACAAUAUCUUUCCAUUCACUGGAUAGCAGUCAAAUACCAAUUUCAUAUCUUCUAUGCUGUGCUUUUAUUUACUUAUCAUUUUUCUUAAAGUGUGCCACUUUUUAAAUGUAAAUUUUAAAGUAAAUUAAAUUAAGUGGAAAACUUUACAUCAUAUAGAAGUUGGAGAAAGAAAAGCAGAAAGAACAACAAAAAAGAAGAUGGAAAAACAGAAUCACUUUCCAUAAAUGGGAGGUAACCAUAAAAUUUUUUUAAAAGCACAAAAUAAUGUUAUAUUCUGUUUACUUACUGUUGCUUGCUUAAGGCUCCAAGCCUAAUGCCAACUCCUACUUAUUAAAAGAAAAAAGGAUAUUAGCAAGUAUUGAAGAAACAUGCAAAAUUGAAACUUUCUCCUGGAAGUAAUCAGAUUACAAAGAGAAUUGCAAUAAUGUUCUCAGCAUAGUUAAAACCAUGUCUGAAUCUCACCUAAAAUCUCUUUAACAACUGUCAUAUAUAACACACAGCAGUGUUAAUUAUAUUUAUCAUAUUGUACAUAGUAUCCCUAGUACUUACCUUAUAACUGGAAAUUUGUACCUUUUGACUGACUUCAUCCACUUCUUUCUCCCAUCACCUGCUUCAUUUUUGGUAACCACAAUUUGAUCUCUUUUUCUGUGUUGGUUGGUUGGUUUUUUAAUAUAAUUGAUCUACAAACACUAUGUUAAUCUCCAUUACAGAACAUAAUGUUUCAAUAUUUCUAUUCAUUCAAUCACAAUGAUAAAUCUAGUUGCAAUAUGACACUAUACAAAGAUAUUACAUAGUUAUUGACUUGUAUUCUCCACACUGUCCAUUUCAAACCCCUAACUCAUUUAAAACUUUAAAUAACUAAAAAAAUGAAGAAUACUUAAGUGAGGUUUAGCACAUCUUUAAGAGUGUCUGUUGUCUUCACAACACGGCUAGACACAGUUUUUUGGGUUCAUAAAUCUUUGCCCUAAAAAUUCUUUAGAUUUACUCCAUUAUCAUCUUUAGACUUAAUGCUACUGAGGAAAAAAAAAAGACCAGCCUGUGCUUUGUUACUUUAUAGUCAACAUUUUCUUGCUUAACUCUUGCAGGAUUCUUUGUAGAUUUCUGAAAUUCAAAGACUUCCCUGGGAUAAUCCCAGGGGUGGAUCUCUUAUCAUAAUUUUUUUUUUCGGAAAGAGGAAACUUUUUAAAAGACUAAGGUCUUUCUUCACCUCACUGAAAUUUUAUUAGUUUAUUGCAUAUGCUUCAUUUAUCUCAUCUUUCGGAAUGUCUAUCAUCAGUACUUAGGGUCUCAUCUUUGUCUUCCUAUCUCUAUUCUACAUUCUGAGAAAGCUUCUGAAGUUUGUCUUCUGAGACAUUGAUUUGAUUUGCUGCACUGAGAUGUCUGCUACACAUGACUUCCAGAAUGGAUUUUAUCUGAGUUAUUGCAUUUAAAAAUCUUGGUUUCCUUAAAGACUUUCUUUUUCCUUUUGCCCUCAAUAUGUUUUCAUUUCAAUUUAGGCUGCUCUCUCUUUUUAAUACCCUAUUUGUAUUUCAUAGACAUCAGUUUGAAAAAAAAGGUAUAACUUAGAUCUAGUAAAAUGCACAAAUCUUAAGGGUACAACUCAGUGGAAUUUAAAAUAUAUACACCUGUGUGAAAACCACCAGAUCAAUUACUUAAAACACUUUCAACAUUCCCAAAGUUCUUCAUCCCCCUUCCCAUAAUUAGCUCACCAUAAAUAGCUCAUUAAUAUAGGUUAAUCUAUGUUGUGAUUCUUAUCACCAUAGAUUAGUUCUACAUGUCUUAGAACUUCAUAGAAAUGAAAUCAUAUACUAUGUACUUUUUUGACUUUUAAAAUAGAUUUGUGGAACAUUUUUUAAUUGUAGUAAAUACAUAUAACAUAAAAUUUACCACUUUAAUCAUGUAUGAGUGUUCAGAAAAGUGAUAUUAACUGUACUCACAUUGCAGUAGAACCAUCACCACCCAUCUUCAGUAUGGGAAGAUGGGAUGUGAUUUCCAGAACAUCCCAUCUUCCCAAACUGAAAUCUUGUACCCACUAAACACCAACUUCCCAUUCUGCCCCCCACCCCUCACCCCAGCCCCUG
rnacentral:lncRNA from 1 species